GACGAACGCUGGCGGCGUGCUUAACACAUGCAAGUCGAACGAUGAAGCACCAGCUUGCUGGUGUGGAUUAGUGGCGAACGGGUGAGUAACACGUGAGUAACCUGCCCCUCACUCUGGGAUAAGCCUGGGAAACUGGGUCUAAUACUGGAUACGACCGAUCUCCGCAUGGAGUGUUUGUGGAAAGUUUUUGUGGUGGGGGAUGGACUCGCGGCCUAUCAGCUUGUUGGUGGGGUAGUGGCCUACCAAGGCGACGACGGGUAGCCGGCCUGAGAGGGCGACCGGCCACACUGGGACUGAGACACGGCCCAGACUCCUACGGGAGGCAGCAGUGGGGAAUAUUGCACAAUGGGCGAAAGCCUGAUGCAGCGACGCCGCGUGAGGGAUGACGGCCUUCGGGUUGUAAACCUCUUUCACCAGGGACGAAGCUAACGUGACGGUACCUGGAGAAGAAGCACCGGCUAACUACGUG
rnacentral:rRNA from 1 species